rnacentral:pre_miRNA from 1 species
AAAACAUUUGGACCGUCGGUCUACUGAGCAAUAACACACGCUCGGUGGAAGAUCUUCCCUUUGUGAU